rnacentral:rRNA from 1 species
CAGCCGCCGCGGUAAUACGUAGGUGGCGAGCGUUGUCCGGAAUUAUUGGGCGUAAAGGGAGCGCAGGCGGGCGAGUAAGUCUUUCUUAAAAGUGCGGGGCUCAACCCCGUGAGGGGAGAGAAACUACUCAUCUUGAGUGCAGGAGAGGAAAGCGGAAUUCCUAGUGUAGCGGUGAAAUGCGUAGAUAUUAGGAAGAACACCAGUGGCGAAGGCGGCUUUCUGGACUGUAACUGACGCUAAUGCGUGAAAGCGUGGGGAGCAAACAGGAUUAGAUACCCCAGUAGUCCCUGUCUCUUAUACA